rnacentral:rRNA from 1 species
AGUGCAGGCGGCCGGUUAAGUCGAAGAUGAAAUCCCGAGGCUCAACUUCGGAACGGUCUUCGAUACUGAUCGGCUUGAGGCUAAUUGAGGAGAGCGGAAUUCCCGGUGGAGCGGUGAAAUGCGUAGAUAUCGGGAGGAACACCAGAGGCGAAGGCGGCUCUCUAAACUAGUCCUGACGCUGAGACUCGAAAGCUAGGGGAGCAAACG